GGGCCCGUGGCGCAGCUAGGGUCAUCGCGCCAGCCUCCGGAGCUGGUGGUCACUGGUUCAAAUCCGGCCGCCG
rnacentral:tRNA from 1 species